rnacentral:rRNA from 1 species
CAGCAGCCACGGUAAUACGGAGGGGGCUAGCGUUGUUCGGAAUUACUGGGCGUAAAGCGCACGUAGGCGGCUUUGUAAGUUAGAGGUGAAAGCCUGGAGCUCAACUUCAGAAUUGCCUUUAAGACUGCAUCGCUUGAACGUCGGAGAGGUGAGUGGAAUUCCGAGUGUAGAGGUGAAAUUCGUAGAUAUUCGGAAGAACACCAGUGGCGAAGGCGGCUUACUGGCUCAUUCUAGACGCUGAGGUGCGAAAGCGUGGGGAGCAAACAGGAUUAGAUACCCCUGUAGUCCCUGUCUCUUAUAC